UACGGAGGGUGCAAGCGUUGUUCGGAAUCAUUGGGCGUAAAGCGCGUGUAGGCGGCUUGGCAAGUCGGUUGUGAAAGCCCGGGGCCCAACCCCGGAAUUGCAUCUGAAACUGCCUCGCUAGAGUCCCGGAGAGGAAGGCAGAAUUCCCGGUGUAGGGGUGAAAUCCGUAGAUAUCGGGAGGAAUACCAGCGGCGAAGGCGGCCUUCUGGACGGUGACUGACGCUGAGACGCGAAAGCGUGGGGAGCAAACAGG
rnacentral:rRNA from 2 species